rnacentral:lncRNA from 1 species
AUGCUCAAAAUUCUCCAAGCCAGGCUUCAGCAAUACAUGAGCCGUGAACUUCCUGAUGUUCAAGCUGGUUUUAGAAAAGGCACAGGAACCAGAGAUCAAAUUGCCAACAUCCGCUGGAUCAUGGAAAGAGCAAGAGAGUUCCAGAAAAACAUCUCUUUCUGCUUUAUUUACUAUGCCAAAGCCUUUGACUGUGUGGAUCACAAGAAACUGUGGAAAAUUCUGAAAGAGAUGGGAAUACCAGACCACCUGACCUGCCUCUUGAGAAACCUAUAUGCAGGUCAGGAAGCAACAGUUAGAACUGGACAUGGAACAACAGACUGGUUCCAAAUAGGAAAAGGAGUACGUCAAGGCUGUAUAUUGUCACCCUGCUUAUUUAACUUAUAUGUGGAGGACAUCAUGAGAAAUGCUGGACUGGAAGAAACACAAGCUGGAAUCAAGAUUGCCAGGAGAAAUAUCAAUAACCUCAGAUAUGCAGGUGACACCACCCUUAUGGCAGAAAGUGAAGAGGAACUAAAAAGCCUCUUGAUGAAAGUGAAAGAGGAGAGUGAAAGAGUUGGCUUAAAGCUCAACAUUCAGAAAACGAAGAUCAUGGCAUCUGGUCCCAUCACUUCAUGGGAAAUAGACGGGGAAACAGUGGAAACAGUGUCAGUCUUUAUUAUUUUGGGCUCCAGAAUCACUGCAGAUGGUGAUUGCAACCAUGAAAUUAAAAGAUGCUUACUCCUUGGAAGAAAAGUUAUGACCAACCUAGAUAGUAUAUUCAAAAGCAGAGACAUUACUUUGCUGACUAAGGUCCGUCUAGUGAAGGCUAUGGUUUUUCCAGUGGUCAUGUAUGGAUGUGAGAGUUGGACUGUGAAGAAGGCUGAACGCCGAAGAAUUGGUGCUUUUGAACUGUGGUUUUGGAGAAGACUCUUGAGAGUCCCUUGGACUGCAAGGAGAUCCAACCAGUCCAUUCUGAAGGAGAUCAACCCCGGGAUUUCUUUGGAAGGAAUGAUGCUAAAGCUGAAACUCCAGCACUUUGGCCACCUCAUGAGAAGAGUUGACUCAUUGGAAAAGACUCUGAUGCUGGGAGGGAUUGGGGGCAGGAAGAGAAGGGGAUGA